rnacentral:rRNA from 1 species
CUGUCUGAAUAUGGGGGGCCCAUCCUCCAAGGCUAAAUACUCCUGACUGACCGAUAGUGAACCAGUACCGUGAGGGAAAGGCGAAAAGAACCCCGGCGAGGGGAGUGAAAAAGAACCUGAAACCGUGUACGUACAAGCAGUGGGAGCACGCUUAGGCGUGUGACUGCGUACCUUUUGUAUAAUGGGUCAGCGACUUAUAUUCUGUAGCAAGGUUAACCGAAUAGGGGAGCCGAAGGGAAACCGAGUCUUAACUGGGCGUUAAGUUGCAGGGUAUAGACCCGAAACCCGGUGAUCUAGCCAUGGGCAGGUUGAAGGUUGGGUAACACUAACUGGAGGACCGAACCGACUAAUGUUGAAAAAUUAGCGGAUGACUUGUGGCUGGGGGUGAAAGGCCAAUCAAACCGGGAGAUAGCUGGUUCUCCCCGAAAGCUAUUUAGGUAGCGCCUCGUGAAUUCAUCUCCGGGGGUAGAGCACUGUUUCGGCAAGGGGGUCAUCCCGACUUACCAACCCGAUGCAAACUGCGAAUACCGGAGAAUGUUAUCACGGGAGACACACGGCGGGUGCUAACGUCCGUCGUGAAGAGGGAAACAACCCAGACCGCCAGCUAAGGUCCCAAAGUCAUGGUUAAGUGGGAAACGAUGUGGGAAGGCCCAGACAGCCAGGAUGUUGGCUUAGAAGCAGCCAUCAUUUAAAGAAAGCGUAAUAGCUCACUGGUCGAGUCGGCCUGCGCGGAAGAUGUAACGGGGCUAAACCAUGCACCGAAGCUGCGGCAGCGACGCUUAUGCGUUGUUGGGUAGGGGAGCGUUCUGUAAGCCUGCGAAGGUGUGCUGUGAGGCAUGCUGGAGGUAUCAGAAGUGCGAAUGCUGACAUAAGUAACGAUAAAGCGGGUGAAAAGCCCGCUCGCCGGAAGACCAAGGGUUCCUGUCCAACGUUAAUCGGGGCAGGGUGAGUCGACCCCUAAGGCGAGGCCGAAAGGCGUAGUCGAUGGGAAACAGGUUAAUAUUCCUGUACUUGGUGUUACUGCGAAGGGGGGACGGAGAAGGCUAUGUUGGCCGGGCGACGGUUGUCCCGGUUUAAGCGUGUAGGCUGGUUUUCCAGGCAAAUCCGGAAAAUCAAGGCUGAGGCGUGAUGACGAGGCACUACGGUGCUGAAGCAACAAAUGCCCUGCUUCCAGGAAAAGCCUCUAAGCAUCAGGUAACAUCAAAUCGUACCCCAAACCGACACAGGUGGUCAGGUAGAGAAUACCAAGGCGCUUGAGAGAACUCGGGUGAAGGAACUAGGCAAAAUGGUGCCGUAACUUCGGGAGAAGGCACGCUGAUAUGUAGGUGAAGUCCCUUGCGGAUGGAGCUGAAAUCAGUCGAAGAUACCAGCUGGCUGCAACUGUUUAUUAAAAACACAGCACUGUGCAAACACGAAAGUGGACGUAUACGGUGUGACGCCUGCCCGGUGCCGGAAGGUUAAUUGAUGGGGUCAGCGCAAGCGAAGCUCUUGAUCGAAGCCCCGGUAAACGGCGGCCGUAACUAUAACGGUCCUAAGGUAGCGAAAUUCCUUGUCGGGUAAGUUCCGACCUGCACGAAUGGCGUAAUGAUGGCCAGGCUGUCUCCACCCGAGACUCAGUGAAAUUGAACUCGCUGUGAAGAUGCAGUGUACCCGCGGCAAGACGGAAAGACCCCGUGAACCUUUACUAUAGCUUGACACUGAACAUUGAGCCUUGAUGUGUAGGAUAGGUGGGAGGCUUUGAAGUGUGGACGCCAGUCUGCAUGGAGCCGGCCUUGAAAUACCACCCUUUAAUGUUUGAUGUUCUAACGUGGACCCGUGAUCCGGGUUGCGGACAGUGUCUGGUGGGUAGUUUGACUGGGGCGGUCUCCUCCUAAAGAGUAACGGAGGAGCACGAAGGUUGGCUAAUCCUGGUCGGACAUCAGGAGGUUAGUGCAAUGGCAUAAGCCAGCUUGACUGCGAGCGUGACGGCGCGAGCAGGUGCGAAAGCAGGUCAUAGUGAUCCGGUGGUUCUGAAUGGAAGGGCCAUCGCUCAACGGAUAAAAGGUACUCCGGGGAUAACAGGCUGAUACCGCCCAAGAGUUCAUAUCGACGGCGGUGUUUGGCACCUCGAUGUCGGCUCAUCACAUCCUGGGGCUGAAGUAGGUCCCAAGGGUAUGGCUGUUCGCCAUUUAAAGUGGUACGCGAGCUGGGUUUAGAACGUCGUGAGACAGUUCGGUCCCUAUCUGCCGUGGGCGCUGGAGAACUGAGGGGGGCUGCUCCUAGUACGAGAGGACCGGAGUGGACGCAUCACUGGUGUUCGGGUUGUCAUGCCAAUGGCACUGCCCGGUAGCUAAAUGCGGAAGAGAUAAGUGCUGAAAGCAUCUAAGCACGAAACUUGCCCCGAGAUGAGUUCUCCCUGACCCUUUAAGGGUCCUGAAGGAACGUUGAAGACGACGACGUUGAUAGGCCGGGUGUGUAAGCGCAGCGAUGCGUUGAGCUAACCGGUACUAAUGAACCGUGAGGCUUAACCUUACAACGCCGAAG